GUGCAACAGGGUUGGAGGGCGUUUUUAAGUAGUAUAGAGCGGUUUUAAAGGAUACACGUUAGAAAGAACAGCGAUUGGGUAUCAUACCACAAAGGCAUAUGAAACACUGCGAGGGACGUUUGCACCGGUGAUCGAGUUUCUCCUCUGGCCCAUCAGCUGAAUAGGUGGGGCUUGAUCAAUGGCAGGAAACUGAAGGAUCAAAUGUCAUAAAAUGGUGCCAGGCUGCGACAUGAAGGCAGGGGCCGUGAAACCGUACCCUCAUCAGACUGUACAGUAGAGAGACAUAGUCACACUCCCGGUGUAAGCAGGGCAUAAAAACACUGCUGCAUGAUAAGGAGCUGCACAGGGACUUUGAACAUUUUAUUAGUAUCUAUAAAAGAGGCACAGGACGAAGGACACAGUGUCUAUAAAGCCCUAAUGGAGGAUCAAUUAAGAUGGUCAAGCUGCAAAAAGAGACUUUUACAGUGUAGGGUUUUAACGCUAACCUUGUCCUUUAACACUAACGUUAAAACCACAAGGCUGGAAAAUUCAGCCUAGCUUUCAUUCCACCGCAUCACUAAUAUCUUCUGAUCACUAACAGUAAAAAUGUUUGUUUGUUUGUGUAAGAAUUUAAAAGUGAGCGGUGAAGGAGAUUUUCAACCUGCUUAUACAGAAUAAAAUGACAUAAUAUGCUACACACACGUUGUGUUUCCAUGUUUUAUGGGGACAUUCCAAAGCUAAUGGUUUUUAUACUGUACAAACUGUAGUUAUACUGUACAAACUGUAAUAUCGCCCUACACCAACUCUACAC